UACGUAGGGGGCUAGCGUUGUCCGGAAUCAUUGGGCGUAAAGCGCGCGUAGGCGGCCAGAUAAGUCCGGUGUGAAAGUCACAGGCUCAACCUGUGAAUGCCGCUGGAAACUGUCUGGCUUGAGUCCGGAAGGGGCGAGUGGAAGUUCCUGGGUGUAGCGGUGAAAUGCGCAGAUAUCAGGAGGAACACCAAUGGCGAAGGCAGCUCGCUGGAACGGUACUGACGCUGAGGCGCGAAAGCAUGGGGAUCAAACAGG
rnacentral:rRNA from 1 species